CAUGUAGGGUGCGAGCGUUGUCCGGAAUUAUUGGGCGUAAAGAGCUCGUAGGCGGUGUGUCGCGUCGGCCGUGAAAACCUGCAGCUUAACUGUGGGCGUGCGGUCGAUACGGGCAUCACUGGAGUUCGGCAGGGGAGACUGGAAUUCCUGGUGUAGCGGUGAAAUGCGCAGAUAUCAGGAGGAACACCGGUGGCGAAGGCGGGUCUCUGGGCCGAUACUGACGCUGAGGAGCGAAAGCGUGGGGAGCGAACAGG
rnacentral:rRNA from 1 species